ACAUUAAUCAUGCCCUUAUAGGGUUUCACCACACUAAGUCCCAAUCUCAUGCAUACUAGGUACAAGUAUUAAUCAAGUAACACUACACUCCCACUAGCAUGCCAUGACAUGUAACAAUUGCCAAGUAGUACCCUAUAAUGCAAUAUCCCAAUAUGCAACUUGAUCAAUGUUAACUAGAGUUUCUAGUAUAACAACCAAUCCAUUACUAGUUCAAGUCAUAUGUGUUUUUAGCACAAUGAGUUCAAUGCCACUUGUAAACUAUGUCUUUAAAUACAACACUAGGUUAUCAUUUGCCUAGGUUCCAAUCCGUCACAUAUCAUCUCAUAUAGGGUUAAGGUGCACAUACUAACUUCAUGCAUACUAGAUUCAAGUGUUAUAUCUACCAAGCUACAUUAACACUAGCAUGCAAAUAUAGAUAUAAGUUUCUAAACACCCUAUAUGCAACAUCAUAAUAUGCAACUUGAUCAAUGACAGAUUAAAGUUUCCAAUGCAAUAGCCAAUACAUUACUAAGUUCUCAUCCACACCUAUCAUCUCAUUAUAGGGUUUCACAUCAUAUAUAUAAACCUCAAGCAUGCUAGAUAUAAGCACUAAGACAAAUACAUUACUCUUUCAAGAAGCAUGCAAUAUAUAUAUAGAACCAACCAUCAACUAGCUAUCACCCUAUAAUGCAAGGUAUCGAUAUACAAUAUGCUACAUGUAAUUUGAUAAGUACUAAGACAUAGGAAGAAGCCCGAUUGCUUCGGGAUGACACCCCCCACCUUUUACCGUGUUUCGAUUGCUCGUCGUCACUUGCAAUCGGCCUCCCACGGCGCACGCCGCUCCGCUUAACCCAAUCCGCGCGCGACCACCAAACGACUUCCGAUCCGCGAUCCGGAAAUUAAAGGUCUUCGGUUUCUCGUCACGAUGCUUCAAAUCCGUUUCUAGGAUUUUACGACGUCGUCUCGGCCCUUCAAGCGGAAACGAAGCCUAAACGUCCGUUUCUUUAAUAACUUUGCACCGGCUCGACGAAUCGCCGAACCGUCGCUUCCAACGCCGAACCGUCGCUUCCAACGCGUUCAGUGACCUAUCAAUUAGGUUUAUAGAGGGUUAAAUGAGAUCAAACCCUACUAGUAGCAAAACUUGCAUUUUCGAGCCCUAGGUUACAACUAGGCAAGAAAUCACCAAAUUCCUUCACAAAUUAAACAUCAAUCAUCUAGAUAGCAUGCUAGGAUUUCACUAAAUCUAUUUCUAGAGAUCAAAACCCCAUAUCUAGAGAUCUACCAUUAAAGGGUAGCAAAAGCUUACCUCAAAACUAGCUUGAAUACAUGGAGAAGAUGAAGAAGAUGAUGACGAUUCACCUCCAAGCUUCAAUCUCCACCAAAUUCCCUUAAUUUUGGGAGAGAAUUAGAGAGAGAAAGAGAGGCUUCUCUUCUCCUAUCCAUGCGUGUGUGGGUGUGUGUGUGUGUCUCGGUUGUGGUGUGCACGGUUGAGGGAGGAGAAGAAGAGCAAUGCUCUUUUACACAAGCAGCCCCCUCAACUAUUCCACUUUUCAGUUAGUCCCUCAAAUCUGAUAAGUUUCGUCGGAGCCCUUCUGAACGUCCGUUUGAGCUCAAAUUCGACAGGCAUGCUCAGUUCAACGUACUGAGUGAGAAUAUAUCUUAAGUUUU
rnacentral:lncRNA from 1 species